UUGCCAUAACUGUGAAUGACUGGAGUCACAGAUGAUUGUUUUAAGUUUGUUUCGCAAAGAUAUUUAUACUUUUGUGUUCACCAACUUUUUGGUUUCAUUAUGUGGCGAAUCUCUCCUUUUUACAAUAUUUAGCAAUUAAAUCAACCACAGAUCAAAUGGAUGAAUUGACCAAAUACAUUGUGCAUUUACAAGUUAAUUUUGCAUUCCAAGGGAUUCGUUUGCAUUGAUUUCAUUUUAAAGCGUUUCACCUCACAUAGGAAUUAUGCACUUUGAAGUUCAAGUUAUAAAUGGAAAUUGAUUUACUCAAUCAGAUGCUUACAGGUCAGAUCAUCAUUCCUGUCUAACUAUUGGUACUUGUUGCGAGACUUAUGAAGCUGCGACGAGCACGAGAUAUCAAUUCGAAAACUUAUAAGAUCAGUUUAACCAAGAAUGCUAAGGAAGCAAUUGAGCGAUUUUCCAAUUGAUUAUACAUCAAUCAACCCCUUGGGUGCUUUUCAGACAAUCUGUGAUUGGUUAGUUAACAGUUGAACCCUUGAGGUAAGCAAACAGACUUUUAUUUCAACAGACAUGCAAUCAACUCUGAGUAUUACAAGACAAUGGAAAAAUCAGCACGAAUCAACCAAAGUGGACUUUUUUACGUAUUAACUUUUUAUCUCUGUUCUCAAACUAGAAAAAAAGCCUUUUCUGGUUUAAACAAAAAGAUGACAACUACUUACAUCUCUUCAACCAUUUCCAUCUGUUCAUCAAAAAUCAACAAAUUAUAUUUUCUGUGUGAAAAACUCUUCUUGCCACAACAUUAUUUAUCACUUAUAAUCGUUGAUUCAAGUUCUCUUUCUAUUUUUCUCUUCUAUUUCUUCCAUCAUGCUUUUAACCAGUAGUUCAAUUAUCAACCAGUAACAUAGCAAAAUUUUUUACCAAUCUGUCAACAAUUGAGUUGAUUGGAAACAUACACAAAAAAAUCAUUGUUACCAUGCUUUCAUCAUAAUAACCUGAUACUCUCAAUCAAUUGUUUACUUCGGAUAAAUGGAUUAACGCUCAUUAUUAUCAUUAUUUAUUGAAAUAUUAUUUAACUUGAUUCACUAAUCAAUAAGGGAAUCAAUAACUUUUUGAAUUACCCUCUUAUUGACCUUAUAACUUGACAAACAAAAAUGCUGCUUGUUUAUUGGUUCUUUGAUCUCAACGUUGCUGUUGCUGUUGGUUUUCAAAGCUUACCAUCACAUGCAUGCUUUUUUACCUAAUACUUUCAGUUAAUUUAUUCAAUCAAUCAAUUUAACGUAUGAUUGGGAUCAUCUUUAGUUAACUGGAUCCUGUCAAGAUGGACAUCAUUGAUUAUAAACUUGCUGAUGAUCACUUGAAUUUGAGACAAAAAGUAACACAAUUUGGAAACAUGUGAACUCGCUCAUUUGCUGGAUUAAUCACUCCUGUAAUCUGUCAUAAACAUACCUGAUCAGUGGUCAUAAUAGUGAUUGAAGGCAAACACUAUUUCACCUUCUCUGACGCUUGGCUGCUGGUUACGUAAAUUUGGAUUUUACAACAACCAUUGAAAAUUGAUAAAAAAUUAACUUCUGAAAAGUUAACCGCUAAUCUAUGCAAAAGCAAUUAAUCACUGAUCGCAUUGAUGUGAUCAAAUGUCCACCAGUUAGCAAUUAAUUAUCCCAGAAACAGAAGGAAGCUCAAUGAUUAAUAUUUUCCCAUGUCAAUGGUGUUAACCUGAUCAUUUGCUUAGGCAAGAUUCCAAGAUGAAAGGAAACUAUUACCACUUCUAAUUGAUAAAGGGAAACUUGAUUCUCAUUUUACCAAAGAUAAUUAAACAGAUCAUUCCGUGGAUUCAUUUUAUCGAUGGCCAACCAUUGUGAAAUGCAAGAUCACCAGAUUUCUAUCAUUAUUGCUUUGCUGUUGGCUGGUUCGAUAUAAAGGAUAAUUCUGGUUUAAUAUAGUCGAUUCACGUUUCUCUCAAGAAAUCAUCUAAACUUCAACGAGUUUUACAAACAUCAAUACUGAUCAUAAUCAAUGUUCAUCAAUGGUUAUCUAUUUAAUGGUUUCUGACAAUAAUUGAACCUGAAAUUGAAUAGUUUCAAAAUGUUACACCGAUAACGCGUUAUCGCUUUUUGUCAUGUUUAACUUCACACUAUUGUAACAAUGUAAGAUGAUCAUUAAUUGAUUUCAUAUCAAUUCAUUAACAUACUGGAGGAGAUGAAAUUUUAAUUUAUUGCUGUAAGGCUUAAAUAUUUUUACUAAUUACCAUUUUACGUUGCAUUCUAUAUGAAUAUUAAUGUAGACUCGCCACAUUUCAAUCUUUUAAGGCUGAUUGGAAUGUUUCUUUCGGUCGAAACGAUUGUUCUUGUUAAUAGUUGUGAUCAAUUUAUUAGGUUGUUAGAAAGUUUUGUACUAAAAAGUUAGCUUAUAAAUUGAUUCUUAAUAAAAAUCGAGUUAUUUUGAUUAGA